UCAAUCAAAUAUCAAAUGCACGAUUAUGUUUUCACAGUGAAGCUCAGAUAUCCGAGUGCAAGUGAAUGCAGCAUUGGCUUCUGCACUAUGAGCAUCACGUUAGCAAAGGAAGGAGAGCCAAGCACGAAAGACGGUACCGCAGAAAACAAUUUUUCGGUGAAAGAAAAUGAGGGGAGAAUAAAUGUCCCGGGCCAACCAGUAGAGAUAAAAGAAUAGGAAGAAUGAAAAGAUCUCAAAAUAUUGAGAAUUUCUUCCUUAAGAAGGCUAAAAUACAACCAGAAGCAGAGAGCAAUGUCAGGGAAAGGUGGACUGAGCAGCAGUCAUCAUUGUCACCUGUGAGUUCUACAAAUGAAGGCACUUCUUCACCUGUUCAUGAUCAACCAGAUAACCAGGAUGUGGUGCCUUUUGAAACAUCUUCAGUGCUGUUGUUUACAAAUGUUUUUGUACUUCUUGUCUUCCUAACAUGUAACAGACUCUUAUUAAAAGUUCAAGAGGUUUAUUUUUGCACAAUUUGUACUGAAAACAUUAUCAAAAGAAGGUAUAGAAAGUAUUUACUUGCUUUCAGCUUUCAUUCAAAUGUCAGUCUUUUCAUUUGUUUCCCCACUUUUUUCCUGUUUCAAAGUCAAACACCAGUUUGUGAGAAGAUUAUCAUCUUUUUUUAAUAGGCAGAUAAAGUUUUGCAUUGGCAUUGGCAAAUUUGCCAAUUGUAUGUUAAAAAUGUUCGUAUUU
ensembl:lncRNA